GCAUAUCAAUAAGCGGAGGAAAAGAAACUAACAAGGAUUCCCCUAGUAACGGCGAGUGAAGAGGGAAGAGCCCAAGUUUGAAAGCUGGCAUUUGUAUUCAGAUGUCUGCAUUGUAAACUCAAGAAGUGUUUUCUGCACCGGAUCAAAUUCAAGUCCCUUGGAAUAGGGCAUCAUAGAGGGUGAAAGUCCCGUGCUUGAUUUGAAACCCCCGGGGCUUUGUGAUACACUUUCCAAGAGUCGAGUUGUUUGGGAAUGCAGCUCAAAAUGGGUGGUAAAUGCCAUCUAAGGCUAAAUAUUGAGGAGAGACCGAUAGUGAACAAGUACCGUGAGGGAAAGAUGAAAAGAACUUUGGAAAGAGAGUUAAACAGUACGUGAAAUUGCCGGAAGGGAAGGGUAGGAAGUCAGACAUGCCUUUGCAGAUUCAGCCUUGUGCUUUAUUGGACUUGGUGCAUUUUUGUAUUGGCUUGCUAGCAUCGGUUUGUAUUGACAGAUAUAGGCUUAGGGAAUGUGGCUUAGCUUUCGGGCAAAGUGUUAUAGCCCUUUGCUGAGUAUGACAAUAUAGACCGAGGAUUGCAGCGCACCCAUUUUAGGGCGGGCCUUUCGGGGCACCUUUGCGCUUAGGAUGCUGGCUUAAUGGCUUUCUGCCACCCGUCUUGAAACACGGACCA
rnacentral:rRNA from 1 species